UACGUAGGGGGCUAGCGUUGUCCGGAUUUAUUGGGCGUAAAGGGCGCGUAGGCGGCCACGCACGUCCGUUGUGAAAUCGCCCGGCUCAACUGGGCGGGGUCGGCGGAUACGGCGUGGCUGGAGCAAGCUAGGGGGCAAUGGAAUUCCCGGUGUAGUGGUGGAAUGCGUAGAUAUCGGGAGGAACACCAGUGGCGAAGGCGGUUGCCUGGAGCUUUGCUGACGCUGAGGCGCGAAAGCGUGGGGAGCGAUCCGG
rnacentral:rRNA from 1 species